GCGCGGCCCCCGUCUGCCGCCGGGUCGUUAACGGGCAGCCAGGUCGCCUGCAGCACUACGGCCCCUCCCGCGCACGCGCGCCCUCUGGCGGCCGAGGCCGGAACAGCCCCUGAGCGUCCGUGCGGGCGGUGCGGGCGAUGCCGGCCGCGCGGCCACCCUGGUCCCUGCCUUCCAGCCGGGCUGCAGCGGAAAUCAGUGACAAGUGGGACGAGCAGCCAGAUGGCACGCAGUCAGCUCCCGGGUGCACAGAGAAAGCGACGCGAGCUGCCGAGGACGACGGAAUCACCAGUGAGUUCAGCCGCCACGCAUCAGAGGUCAUGAAACACCUGUCGGCUUUGUUUGUUUUACCAUUGAUGCAUUGACCAGACGCAAAUAGCAUAAAUUGUCAAAAGACCUGAAUAUAGAGAAUUUACACAAGGAAAAAACUUUCCAUCAUAUGAAAAUAAUGCUAAGUUACCAAAAUGUCCUGGCCUCCAUUUCUGGCCAGACUGUGAAGGAACUUGGUUCACGACAACGUUCCAGGACUGGGUGAAACUCGUGAUUCCAUCAGAGGACAGUUUGGUGCAGGACGAACCACAAGCCGUAAAAAUGAUCCUGCCCUAUGAUGGACCCCAUCAGCAGUCCCGGACCUGGGAAACAGGCGAAAGAUAUAAUUAAAGGAAGAAAAACGCUUUUGGAUGGGAGAUAAAUAUAGGAGGAUUCGUUAGAGUCAUACUGAGAAUGGACAGGCGGGCCGAGGGUUACUCCUUUUGAAGGGGACUGAGUAAGCGCGCUUCCCAACUUCCACUAAACUGUUUGAAGGGUUUAUUUUCCUUUAUUUGAAAAACCUAACACAGACGUUUUCCAAUGUGGGCUGUAUAUCCAGAAUAAUGAAGAAAGUAGCUUAAUUUGUCUUUGGAGAUAAAUAGCCACUUGAAGAUGUGCCUUAAGACAGCAAGCAUUGAAUUACCCUUACAUUUGUGGAUACUUAUUCUUUUUAACUUUUAAAACGUGAAGUAUAGUCUUUUAUUAAUAAAUCAAAUUUCUAUGUAAUUUUAUUCCUGUAAUGUUAAGUGUAGCCCUAAAACUUUGCUGUUAAUUCCCCAAAGAUCAUUCCUUUUCUCUUUACCACAAUAUUCAUGUCUGUAAGUCCAUUUCUGAGUAUAAAUGUUUAGAUAUUAUCGGGUCAGACGUGGAAGGCUGAAAGCUUUAAAAAGUCCUCCUGGGCCGGAAGGGUCCGGCCAGUGUGCCCUCAGUGCCCUGCGCUGCGUUCUUCCUCCCCACGGCAGCUCUUAUUCUAAUUCUUCCUCUGCGAGUGAACCUCGAGCCAUCUCCCCUGGUGCGUCUUGGGUCUUUAGCGCUGAGUCCUCAGAGAGUCGAGCCGUGACCUGUCCACAGUUGGUAGAUUUGUUGUGAAAACACCAGGACCUGCAGCCAGAGCUCUGUGGUGUCCUCCUGAAGGGUGGGGAGAGGGCCUCCCCUUGUCCUUUGGGUCACCUGGAGACCCUCUGCCUCGGAGCAGCGGCCUGGGUGUGAGAAAGUCUCAGCUGGUGAGGAAGGAGGUGGAGGUUUGCGAUUCUCCCACACGGAAUAUGAAGCCCGAAGAACUCUCCCCCAGGCCUCGGCCUCCGCAGACUCGGGGCUGGUGCAGCUCCGGGAGCAGCCGCUGCUCAGGAAGCUCCGGGCCCGAGCUGGGGGAGGGCCACGGUCAGGGCCGGGCUGGUUUACGAUUGUAACCAAGCAUCUCAGGAAACCUUCCUCUUUCCCUCGGCUUCUACCCUCUGCGCUGGCCUCACCUCUCGGUGGAGGGUUCUAUGAUACUUCUACUGUCUUAUCCAUUUUCGAGAAACAAACCCUUCCCCACGUGGGUUAGCUGUGACUAACAAACUUCUCUACCUAACCUUUUUUCCGUUAGAAAAUACGUUCCAAGCUCCCCCGCAGGACUCUGGGAACAAGAGAGAUCUCUGCGCCCGGGCAGCCCCUCCAGAGAGGAGACUCCUUCGGGAGGGAGGAAGCAGGGGCGGGAGCAGGCGUUGCAGGGCCUCCCAGCAGCCGUGCGCCCCGGGCAGUUAUCCGCUGCCUGUCUGGGCCUCUGUUUCCCUACAUUUAGAGCCAGAUAGUCGUACAUGCAGAGCUCUGAGAGUCAGAGACAAGAUAGGAGAGUGUCCAAAAACAGGCUCUGCACACUGAAUAAAACAAAGCAGAAGCACAAGUUUAUUGCAAGGCUUUCGACCGGCAAGCCAGGAAACUCAAGGCUAUGGGAGCAGUGAGUUCCAAGUUGCUCACGGACCACGGGAUUUUCCUGGGAUAAAUGCACAAGAUAUUCGGCUUCUGCAGCUGAUCGGUGGCCCAGCAGUCUUCUUUCUUACUUGGAUCCGGGUAGCUGAGUCAGGGGAAGUCCAGAGAUGGCGUGAACGGACUUGGCAUUUGGGGAUUGGCUGGUGAACUCUGCUGAUUUCCGAGAUCUGUCAAUUCCUGUAAGACCUGCCCUGAAAGAAAUGAUAAGGGAAUCCUUCCAGUUGAAGUGAAAAUACACUAGACAGUAACAUGAAGAUGUGAAGAAAUAAAGAUGUCUGGUAAAAGACUCAUCACAAGGCAAACAAUAUGCCUGACCCGCCACUCACCAAGUGCGACUAUGGGUAAAACAUUCACCUGCUUGAACCUCAGGCUCCUCAUCUGUAAAACGAUUUUAUAACUGUUUGUAAUGUCGACUGAUCCAAUAAGGACAAGUGAGAAAUCUGUUCCUUAUUAAAAUGUCAGGUAACCUUGAAGCAACAUCCCACACUCUGUGCGGCUGAAUGGGAUCCACACAGAACUUGGGGCAUCAGGGGAGGCCACUCGUCUCUACACAACUGAGGUGUUCAUUACCAGACGUGAGGCCAGCCAGCCUCCUGCACCGCUGUAGUGAAGGAAGAUCCCAGCCUGGCUCUUCUGGAGUUAUCGGGCGGCUUUCCCCUCUCAUUUUCUCUGGGACCUCACAACACUGAUUAUUAUUGUCACCCCCGGAUCCUCCUCCUGUCUCUCUGCUCACACAGUAAUAGAAGGCUCUCGAUAGGUUCAGGUCUCUCCAGUCCUUCAAAAAUGACCACAGGACCCUGCAAUUCACCUACUGUUCUCCCUCUCAAUGCACAACAAACUCUGUCUGUUUCCAAACUGGAAUAAGUGUUUAUGUGUAAAGGUGGAACUGGGUGGCCUGAGACAUGGUGAUACGGAGA
ensembl:lncRNA